rnacentral:ncRNA from 1 species
UACCACUUGGUAAAAAACUAUCUCGUAAAAGGCACGGUUUAGUAGGUCAAUUCUCGAAAGACCGUGAGGGACUUAAAAG